rnacentral:rRNA from 1 species
GACGAACGCUGGCGGCGCGCCUAACACAUGCGAGUCGAACGAGCGAGAGAGAGCUUGCUUUCUCGAGCGAGUGGCGAACGGGUGAGUAACGCGUGAGGAACCUGCCUCAAAGAGGGGGACAACAGUUGGAAACGACUGCUAAUACCGCAUAAGCCCACGACCCGGCAUCGGGUCGAGGGAAAAGGAGCAAUCCGCUUUGAGAUGGCCUCGCGUCCGAUUAGCUAGUUGGUGAGGUAACGGCCCACCAAGGCGACGAUCGGUAGCCGGACUGAGAGGUUGAACGGCAACAUUGGGACUGAGACACGGCCCAGACUCCUACGGGAGGCAGCAGUGGGGAAUAUUGCACAAUGGGGGAAACCCUGAUGCAGCGACGCCGCGUGGAGGAAGAAGGUCUUCGGAUUGUAAACUCCUGUUGUUGAGGAAGAUAAUGACGGUACUCAACAAGGAAGUGACGGCUAACUACGUG